rnacentral:rRNA from 1 species
AUGAAGCUGCUCAUUCAGGCAUCGACACUCAUAGUUGUGAUUCAAGCCUGGGUCAUGUUGGUACACAAGAGAGUGGUUCGUCGCAACUCCAAACCUAUGAUCAUAUAUGACCCAAUGUUAGCCCGAGAUAUGGAGAGGAUGGCGAAUCUAAACUACAUCUACAACUGUAAUGAUGUAGAGCCUGUGAACAUGCUUCGAAUGAGAAGAACCCCCUUUUCCAAGAUUGUGGACAAGUUUAGAGAGAUGAGGUUGCUAGACGAUAGCAUCAACACCUCCGUGGAAGAGCAAGUAGCAAGGUUCCUUCAUGUUGUAGAUCAUAAUCAGAGAUUCAGAGUGAUCAACAAUACAUUAAAUAGAACUCGUGUGACAAUUUCCUGGCAUUUCAAGCAAGUCUUGUAUGAGAUUGAAGAUCUUAGAGGAGAGAUGAUUAAAACACCUACUAGUCAAACUCCUGUGAAGAUAAGCCCGAGCUAUAGAUGGUAUCCAUAUUUUAAGGUUCACAGUAUUACCUGUUAG